UCAAUUUUUUCAUUUUUAACAAAAUACAUUCAUUUACAUUUCAGUAAUUUCAGUAGUUCAACAUACUGUAACAAAAUAUAUUUCAGUUAGUUGCCACUUAACAUUUCUAAUUUUCUUUUAGUUGUUUUUUUAGGGUAAGUUUUUCAUCUGUUGUUAAUUUUUUUUUUUUUUUUUUUUUUUUUUUUUUUUUUUUAAAUAGUUUUAGUGUUAGCUUUGGUUAAAGAUAACAACAUUGAUUGAAAUCAAAUCACAAUAUAUGGCUGGGGUUUUCAGCAGGCGAUUGACCUCUGUAUAAUCUACCUGUCUCUCACUGUAAUGCAAUCUCUAAAUUUCCUUAUCUAAACACCUGCUCUUUCACCUUUAACUCAUCAAAUUCUCCUCAUUUCAUGCUGACCUCUGGAUAUCUGGAUAUAUUUUGGGCUCAAAGGAUGAUGAAGAAGGAAUUUGGGCAUAACUAUUUCCAAACCAAAGCUAUGAUGUUGUUUUGUGGGACAAUUCAGUCACUAAAGGAGGAGCACAGCCAUGCCAUACAGAUGAAAUUCUACAUUGUUCACUUGGCCAGUCUUUACCUACAAUCAGAUUCAUUCUUUUGGAUGGGGCCCCAUUUUUUCCAUGCAUUAAGGAAAGAGGCGGAGCAUUAGUUUGAGUGGGAGGGCCAAAGCUGGAGAUGGCCACCUGAGCAGGUAAAUACUAUUAACAAAAGUACUAACACUUAUUAACUUUAAUUUUUUAUUUACAGUUUUCAUAUCAUACAGUACCAUUGUAGUAUAUUUCCAGCAUCUUCCGUAACAUUACCAUUUAUACCAAAAGGCGAGUUAAUAAGUUAAACAACUGAUAUUUUUCCAUCAAAAAAGUCAUCAGCAUAUCAUAACAUAAUAUAUAUAUAUAUAUUUAUAAACAAGCGGAGUGAUACAAAAUUGUGAAAGCGUGUUCCUUUAGUGAUACCAGUACGAUAUCUCACGGUUCUCAACAAAUCAGAUGUGAGUACAAGAACAAACUGUUGUAU
rnacentral:lncRNA from 12 species